GGAGUUGUGGCUCAAGGGGUAGAGCACUCACCUAACAUGCGUGAAGCACUGGGUUCGAUCCUCAGCACUGCA
rnacentral:tRNA from 1 species